rnacentral:rRNA from 1 species
AACGGCGGCCGUAACUAUAACGGUCCUAAGGUAGCGAAAUUCCUUGUCGGGUAAGUUCCGACCUGCACGAAUGGCGUAACGACUUCCCCACUGUCUCCAACAUAGACUCAGCGAAAUUGAAUUCCCCGUGAAGAUGCGGGGUACCCGCGGUCAGACGGAAAGACCCCGUGAACCUUUACUACAGCUUCACAGUGGCAUUAAAGAACUUAUGUGUAGGAUAGGUGGGAGGCUUUGAAGCUUUGGCGCCAGCCAGAGUGGAGCCAACCUUGAAAUACCACCCUUAAUUUCUUUGAUGUCUAACCGCGCCCCUGGAUGGGGCCGGGACCCUGUGUGGCGGGUAGUUUGACUGGGGCGGUCGCCUCCUAAAGAGUAACGGAGGCGCGCGAUGGUAGGCUCAGAGCGGUCGGACAUCGCUCGUUGAGUGCAAUGGCAUAAGCCUGCCUGACUGCGAGCUCGACGGAGCGAGCAGAGACGAAAGUCGGUCAUAGUGAUCCGGUGGUCCCGAAUGGAAGGGCCAUCGCUCAACGGAUAAAAGGUACUCCGGGGAUAACAGGCUGAUGAUGCCCAAGAGUCCAUAUCGACGGCAUCGUUUGGCACCUCGAUGUCGGCUCAUCACAUCCUGGGGCUGGAGCAGGUCCCAAGGGUUCGGCUGUUCGCCGAUUAAAGUGGUACGUGAGCUGGGUUCAGAACGUCGCGAGACAGUUUGGUCCCUAUCUGCCGUGGGUGUUGGAUACUUGAGAGGAUUUGUCCCUAGUACGAGAGGACCGGGAUGAACACACCUCUGGUGGACCUGUUGUGGCGCCAGCCGCAUUGCAGGGUAGCUAUGUGUGGACGGGAUAACCGCUGAAAGCAUCUAAGCGGGAAACCCACCUCAAAACCAGGUAUCCCUGAGAGCCGUGCAAGACCAGCACGUCGAUAGGCCGGGUGUGGAAGCGCUGCGAGGCGUGAAGCUAACCGGUACUAAUUGCUCGAUAGGCUUGAUCGA